UAGGUGGGAAGCUGUGUGUCUCUUUGCGAAUGAAUUUUAUCCAAAGCAAUCCUUUCUUGUAAAACACGUAUUCUCUGUUUUUCUGAAGAUAUAACACUGCAUAUAUUUCUCUUUCAGCUUCCUGCAUUGCGGGAUGAGGGCCAAGUGGCGAAAGAAGCGCAUGCGCAGACUGAAGCGUAAAAGGAGAAAGAUGAGGCAGAGGUCUAAGUAAAUCCAUGCCAUUCAAACCUGUUUGCAGGACCUGAUUUAAACUCUGAAUUCAAAAGCUUCUGGAACUCUGACCCUUUGAUUUCACCCCUUAAAAAAAUGUUCAGUCUUUGGUCUUUUCAUUUGAUAUGUCACAAUAAAAAUGUAUCCUCCAGACUCUGAAGAAGGGGAAAGGUC